CAUUGAAACACUUGUUCUCGUACGAUCAUCUUAGUUAAGCAAUAUUGAGCCUCGUCAUUACCUCGAUGGGUGACCGCUUGGGAAUACCAAGUGCUGUAA